rnacentral:rRNA from 1 species
UACGGAGGGCGCAAACGUUGCCCGGAUUCAUUGGGCGUAAAGCGCACGUAGGCGGCCUGUUAAGUCGGGCGUGAAAUCCCUCGGCUUAACCGAGGAAGUGCAUUCGAAACUAUCGGGCUCGAAUACUGAAGAGGGUCUCGGAAUUCCCGGUGUAGAGGUGAAAUUCGUAGAUAUCGGGAGGAACACCAGUGGCGAAGGCGGAGACCUGGGCAGAUAUUGACGCUGAGGUGCGAAAGCGUGGGGAGCAAACAGG